rnacentral:rRNA from 1 species
GGCCAGACUCCUACGGGAGGCAGCAGUGGGGAAUAUUGGGCAAUGGGCGCAAGCCUGACCCAGCAACGCCGCGUGAAGGAAGAAGGCUUUCGGGUUGUAAACUUCUUUUAAGAGGGAAGAGUAGAAGACGGUACCUCUUGAAUAAGCCACGGCUAACUACGUGCCAGCAGCCGCGGUAAUACGGAGGGUGCAAGCGUUGUCCGGAAUCAUUGGGCGUAAAGAGUUCGUAGGUGGCAUAUUAAGUCUGGUGUUAAAUGCAGAAGCUCAACUUCUGUUCGGCACUGGAUACUGGUAAGCUUGAAUGCGGUAGAGGUAAAGGGAAUUCCUGGUGUAGCGGUGAAAUGCGUAGAUAUCAGGAGGAACAUCGGUGGCGUAAGCGCUUUACUGGGCCGUAAUUGACACUGAGGAACGAAAGCCGGGGUAGCAAAUGGGAUUAGAUACCCUGGUA